rnacentral:rRNA from 1 species
UACGGAGGGUGCAAGCGUUAUCCGGAUUUACUGGGUUUAAAGGGUGUGUAGGCGGAUUUUUAAGUCAGAGGUGAAAUCUCCAGGCUCAACCUGGAAACUGCCCCUGAUACUAUUAGUCUUGAAUAUUGAUGAGGUGGGCGGAACGGGUCAUGUAGCGGUGAAAUGCUUAGAGAUGACCCGGAACACCAAUUGCGAAGGCAGCUCACUGGGCAAUUAUUGACGCUGAGGCACGGAAAGCGUGGGGAGCAAACAGGG